CCUACGGGCGGCUGCAGUGGGGAAUAUUGCACAAUGGGCGCAAGCCUGAUGCAGCCAUGCCGCGUGUGUGAAGAAGGCCUUCGGGUUGUAAAGCACUUUCAGCGGGGAGGGAGGCGGUGAGGUUAAUAACCUCAUCGAUUGACGUUACCCGCAGAAGAAGCACCGGCUAACUCCGUGCCAGCAGCCGCGGUAAUACGGAGGGUGCAAGCGUUAAUCGGAAUUACUGGGCGUAAAGCGCACGCAGGCGGUCUGUCAAAUCGGAUGUGAAAUCCCCGGGCUCAACCUGGGAACUGCAUUCGAAACUGGCAGGCUAGAGUCUUGUAGAGGGGGGUAGAAUUCCAGGUGUAGCGGUGAAAUGCGUAGAGAUCUGGAGGAAUACCGGUGGCGAAGGCGGCCCCCUGGACAAAGACUGACGCUCAGGUGCGAAAGCGUGGGGAGCAAACAGGAUUAGAUACCCUUGUAGUC
rnacentral:rRNA from 1 species